rnacentral:rRNA from 1 species
GAUGAAUGCUGGCGGCGUGCCUAAUACAUGCAAGUCGAGCGGCAGCGCGAGUAGUUUACUACUUGGCGGCGAGCGGCGGACGGCUGAGUAACGCGUGGGAACGUGCCCCAAAGUGAGGGAUAAGCACCAGAAAUGGUGUCUAAUACCGCAUAUGGUCUUCGGAUUAAAGGAUUUAUCCGCUUUGGGAGCGGCCCGCGUUUGAUUAGAUAGUUGGUGAGGUAAUGGCUCACCAAGUCGACGAUCAAUAGCUGGUCUGAGAGGAUGAUCAGCCAGACUGGAACUGAGACACGGUCCAGACUCCUACGGGAGGCAGCAGUAAGGAAUCUUCCACAAUGGGCGAAAGCCUGAUGGAGCAACGCCGCGUGAAGGAUGAAGGCCCUCGGGUUGUAAACUUCUUUUAUGAGUGAAGAAUAUGACGGUAACUCAUGAAUAAGCACCGGCUAACUACGUGCCAGCCGCCGCAGUAA